UGGGAGCGUGGCGAAAUUGGUAGACGCACUAGAUUUAGGAUCUAGCGCCUUCGGGUGUGGGGUUCGAGUCCCCGCUCCCAA
rnacentral:tRNA from 1 species